AUUGAACGCUGGCGGCAGGCCUAACACAUGCAAGUCGAACGGUAACAGGAAGAAGCUUGCUUCUUUGCUGACGAGUGGCGGACGGGUGAGUAAUGUCUGGGAAACUGCCUGAUGGAGGGGGAUAACUACUGGAAACGGUAGCUAAUACCGCAUAACGUCGCAAGACCAAAGAGGGGGACCUUCGGGCCUCUUGCCAUCGGAUGUGCCCAGAUGGGAUUAGCUAGUAGGUGGGGUAACGGCUCACCUAGGCGACGAUCCCUAGCUGGUCUGAGAGGAUGACCAGCCACACUGGAACUGAGACACGGUCCAGACUCCUACGGGAGGCAGCAGUGGGGAAUAUUGCACAAUGGGCGCAAGCCUGAUGCAGCCAUGCCGCGUGUAUGAAGAAGGCCUUCGGGUUGUAAAGUACUUUCAGCGGGGAGGAAGGGAGUAAAGUUAAUACCUUUGCUCAUGGACGUUACCCGCAGAAGAAACACCGGCGAACUCCGU
rnacentral:rRNA from 1 species